GAUGAAUGCUGGCGGCGUGCCUAAUACAUGCAAGUCGAGCGGUAAGGCCCUUCGGGUACGACGAGCGGCGGACGGCUGAGUAACGCGUGGGAACAUGCCCCAAAGUGAGGGAUAACGCACCGAAAGGUGUGCUAAUACCGCAUAUGGUCUUCGGAUUAAAGGAUUAUCCGCUUUGGAGUGGCCCGCGUACGAUUAGAUUGUUGGUGAGGUAACGGCUCACCAAGUCGACGAUCGUUAACUGGUCUGAGAGGAUGAUCAGUCAGACUGGAACUGAGACACGGUCCAGACUCCUACGGGAGGCAGCAGUAAGGAAUCUUCCACAAUGGGCGAAAGCCUGAUGGAGCAACGCCGCGUGCAGGAUGAAGGCCCUCGGGUCGUAAAGCACUUUAAGCGGGGAGGAAGGCUUGAUGGCUAAUAUCCAUCAGGAUUGACGUUACCCGCAGAAUAAGCACCGGCAAACUUCGUGCCAGCAGCCGCGGUAAU
rnacentral:rRNA from 1 species